rnacentral:siRNA from 1 species
AUGUAACAGUAUAUCAGAGUCCAU